CCUUCUCUCCCUUCUCUCUAAAAACUAGAUCUAGGGUUGGCCGCCGCUUUUCGGCUCCGGUGGCUUACAUAGCACCGGAGUCGACUUUCUCUCUUUAGAUUAAGUAUGUUUUCGUUUCUUCUUUCUUGGCUUUACCUUCUCCGUGUGUGAGGCUCUUGAUGUUGUAGGCUGGUGGUUCGUGGCAGUGGGUUUUGAAGGUUCGUGGCGGCGCGUAGAGAGCAGUUCUUAAUCCCAUGGAUCCGAUUUCGAUGGAUCUGUUGGCUUUGUGGUCUAAAGUUACGGUUCAUCCGGCUUCACAGGUUAACGUUCGUCUCUCGGAAAGCUUCUCGUUUCAAUGGCAUCUACUAGCUCAUCUCCUGGGCCUUUUGGUUUGGGUGUUGAGUUCAAGGCGUUGGAAUUGGUUCCUUCUUUGACUCUUCUCUUGCGAGGUCGUGGUCGGUCUUAAGGCUGUAGAUGGCUGAGGCUGUUCUUCACGAAUGUCCACGUGUAAGAGCUGGAGAUCCUCUCUGACGUUUUCUCCCUUUGGAGUUCAAGGUCCCCUCCUUGAGCCUAGCUUAUCUCGUCUGCAGCGUCUUCUCAUCGAGGUUGGUUUGGUGUUGGUGCCCGUUGUGGUUUUUGUUCAGUCUUGCGUUUGCUUUCGUCGGUUUGUUGCUGUUUGUGCUGGAGUUUCUAUUUGGUUCGUGCUUCCGGUUAUCUGGUAGUGUCCUUUGGUUUCUCUUCGUUGCACUUGGUUUUUGCUCAAACUCGGCUUCUACAGGUUCUUUGAGGUAGUCGUCGGUUUGCUCUGUUCCUUAUUCUCUUCAGUUCUUAUGAUUCAUUGCCUCCUCCUCUGUUGUUUGUUUGAUCUACCUUUGUUUUUAGAGUUCCGUAAUUCUUAGUUGUUAUGGUCUUUUGUGCCAUGUAGUCUAAUCAAGUGCUUCCCGUGUAUCGGGCUUUAGCUUCCGGGGAUUUUUUUGUUUUCCGCCGGCUUAGUAUUUCAAAAAUGCAUUCCACCCUUGUAUUUCACCUUUGGUUUAUAAUGAAAAAUUAAGUGAAAAAAAAA